rnacentral:tRNA from 1 species
GCCUGGCUGGCUCAGUUGGAAGAGCGUGUGACUCUUGACCUCAGAGUUGUGAGUUCAAGCCCCACAUUGGGUG